AUAGCUUAGUCGGAAGAGCACCGGUCUAUCAAUCCGUAGGUCUCGGGUUCGAAUCCCGUU
rfam:Strongylocentrotus purpuratus Contig105172_fixed, whole genome shotgun sequence.